GAUUUAGUUAAUGUUAGAUAUUAUCGGAGAACAGACUAAAAUAACAAUUUAAAAAAUUUUUUUUUGUUGAUUUGAAGUUUCACAUUUUUUUUGUCAUAAAUGAAUAAGAUUUUAAUCACACUUUUACUGAUGUCUAUAAUUUUCACAACGAGCAAUCAAAGUCCUCUUGAAAUCGCUCUUCAAAAUGUUUUUAAACACAAAUUUCGCCAACUACGGGAGACGAGCUCGGAAGUACUUAUCGACUUUGAGGAUGAAACUUUAGAUUUUGCUGAAAGUCAUAUAUUUUUGCCGAAAUUCAAGUUUAACGAAAUCCAAACAAAAAGAAGACGCACAAGGGUUGAGGAGUAAUUUUAAUGUAUUAUUAUUUGUUAAGCACUUUCCAUGUUAUAUUCACAAAAAUAAAUCACUCCAAGUGUGUGUAGCAAAUUUCUUGAUUGACCCAUUUAUUGGCGAACGACUAUUAGAGUAGUGCGAGAUGCAUCAUAGUAGUAAAAAAAAAGAAAGAGUAAAAACCAGAACAAACAGUUAUUUCUUCAUUCAUUCAGUUCUAACGACGACGGCGGCGUACAGAAAUGUAGUAAAUGAUCGCCAAUGCAGACCAUUUAAUGCGUAUCGCACACAAAUCGGAGUAACGUUCUUUAGUUAAUAUGUAGGUACGAUACGGAAAGUCUGAAUACAAAUUGAAUUUGAUCGUAUUAAAAUUAUCGCAACUGUAUCGUGUGCCAAAAAACAAACAAGUUUUUAGCAAAUAUGUACAAAUAUAGGUAAAUGAGAACAAGAGUUCAUUGGAAAAUUCCUCUUUUUCUUGUUCUUACAACGUGUGUGGAUUCUUCAAGAAAUUAGAUCAACAGUGUCAGCAAUAAAUUAUGUUUUUAAUCAAUCUGCGGCGUAUUUUGUAGUUGUAUCUUUGUAGU